GUUGGUACUUGUACCGACUGGAUGAGCAGCGAACGGGUGAGUAACGCGUGGGGAAUCUGCCUUUGAGCGGGGGACAACAUUUGGAAACGAAUGCUAAUACCGCAUAAAAACUUUAAACACAAGUUUUAAGUUUGAAAGAUGCAAUUGCAUCACUCAAAGAUGAUCCCGCGUUGUAUUAGCUAGUUGGUGAGGUAAAGGCUCACCAAGGCGAUGAUACAUAGCCGACCUGAGAGGGUGAUCGGCCACAUUGGGACUGAGACACGGCCCAAACUCCUACGGGAGGCAGCAGUAGGGAAUCUUCGGCAAUGGACGAAAGUCUGACCGAGCAACGCCGCGUGAGUGAAGAAGGUUUUCGGAUCGUAAAACUCUGUUGGUAGAGAAGAACGUUGGUGAGAGUGGAAAGCUCAUCAAGUGACGGUAACUACCCAGAAAGGGACGGCUAACUACGUGCCAGCAGCCGCGGUAAUACGUAGGUCCCGAGCGUUGUCCGGAUUUAUUGGGCGUAAAGCGAGCGCAGGUGGUUUAUUAAGUCUGGUGUAAAAGGCAGUGGCUCAACCAUUGUAUGCAUUGGAAACUGGUAGACUUGAGUGCAGGAGAGGAGAGUGGAAUGUCCAUGUGUAGCGG
rnacentral:rRNA from 1 species